GAUGAACGCUAGCGGGAGGCCUAACACAUGCAAGCCGAGCGGUAGAGUUUCUUCGGAAACUUGAGAGCGGCGCACGGGUGCGUAACACGUGUGCAACCUACCUUUAUCUGGGGGAUAGCCUUUCGAAAGGAAGAUUAAUACCCCAUAAUAUAAUGAUUGGCAUCAAUUAUUAUUGAAAACUCCGGUGGAUAGAGAUGGGCACGCGCAAGAUUAGAUAGUUGGUGAGGUAACGGCUCACCAAGUCAAUGAUCUUUAGGGGUCCUGAGAGGGAGAUCCCCCACACUGGUACUGAGACACGGACCAGACUCCUACGGGAGGCAGCAGUGAGGAAUAUUGGACAAUGGGUGAGAGCCUGACCCAGCCAUCCCGCGUGAAGGAUGACGGUCCUAUGGAUUGUAAACUUCUUUUGUACAGGGAUAAACCUACCCUCGUGAGGGUAGCUGAAGGUACUGUACGAAUAAGCACCGGCUAACUCCGUG
rnacentral:rRNA from 1 species